rnacentral:tRNA from 1 species
GGUCCCGUAGCUCAGUUGGUUAGAGCGUUGCUCUUAUGAGCCGAAGGUCGCGGGUUCUCGAGCCCCGCCGGGACCA